AUGGCAGAGCAUGAGGUUAAUCCAGAAGUAAAUGAAGAUGUUGAUGUUGAACAACCUCAUACAGACAAGGAAUUACAAGCAGCAGAAGGCACAGCUGAUGAUGUCUCUACUACCUCACAAAGAGCACGGAGAAGCCAAAGAGUCCGUACACUGAUGGAAAAGGGCCAAGAAUUCCACAAGGAGCUCGUAGAGAAGGCUGCAUGUCGUUUCAGAGGACACUAUGAGAAGUGGAAAGCUGCUGUUAAGGACGCUAAAGGAGCCAUAGAUGAUAAGUACUCAGAGGAUCUGCUACAGGACCAUGUCUCCAAGGUUUCAAAUGCCUUUGAGGGUGUGAAUGCUUCCUAUGUUGAGUUAAGACGCAUUGAAUCUCCAGAUAAUGAGACAAGACGGAGAAUGGAUACAUGUGAAGCCAUAACAAAGACAAUUAUCGGAGCAGUAGCAAAGUGCUCUAACCCAAGUAAAUCUGAAGUUCAAGGAGAUGAAAACUGGAAAGAGACUGAGCCUAUAUCUAAGUUAGUAGCCUCAGACAAGAUGAGUGUAAAGUCACACCACACUAAGCUCUCUUCUCGCUCAAGGGUCUCCUCUAGAAGCUCCAGCAGGCUUUCAGCCAAAAGACAAGAUGCAGCUGCUGAUGUUGCAGCAAAUGAAGCUGCUCUGCAAGUUCUGCUUGAACAAGAAACUCAUAUGAAGGAAAUCGAAAGACAAGAAGCGGAAAUAGCACAAAGACAGAGAGCUCUAGAAGCUAAGUGCAGAGAAGUAGAGCGACUUGAGACAAUAAAAAAGCUAAAUGCUGCAAAGGCUCGACAGCAGGUGUAUGAACAAAGUGAAUGUUCAGAUGAAGAGAUAUACAGCCUACUUCACCACAGUCCUGCCAAAAACAAUGAAGUCAAGUCUGAAAACAAUGACUCACAUUGCAAACAGUGUUCUUCACCGCAAAUUAUGACACCUCAACGAGAAGUGAACACGACAGAUCUGGUCAAAGCAUUCGCAGAGUCUCUUAGUGUAAGCCGUCUUCCGGUACCAGAGCCUACAAUAUUCAGUGGCGAUCCUAUUAGAUAUAAUGAUUGGAAGAUUUCCUUUCAAACUUUGAUCGACAGGAAAAAUAUACCAGUUGAAGAGAAGACUUAUUACCUGAGAAAGUAUGUAAGUGGGCCUGCAAAGAAGGCAAUAGAAGGCUACUUUCCGCUUGGCACAGAAUCAGCAUACUAUGCAGCAUGGUCAGUUCUCGAAGAGAGGUAUGGCAAUCCCUUCCUCAUAGCUAAAGCCUAUCGAGACAAACUCGAUGCAUGGCCAAAGAUAAGCUCCAAAGACAGUAUGGAACUUCAGGCAUUUGCUGACUUCCUCUGCUGCUGCAAGACAGCCAUGUUACAAAUGAAGGGGCUUGAAGUGUUCAAUGACUGCAAUGAAAACCAAAAAAUGCUUGCAAAACUCCCAGAUUGGCUCACUUCAAGAUGGAAUAGAAAGGUUAUGGAAGUGCAAGAGGAAAACCACACCUUCCCGAGCUUCAGCCAAUUUGUGGACUUCAUCUCACGGGAAGCCAAAAUUGCCUUUAACCCCAUAACAUCUCUUUUCGCUCUGAAACCAAUUGAAAUUGAAAGUACAAAAACCCAAAAGAACAAAGGCUGUGGAGCAAAGGUACUGGCAACUAACUUAAAUGAAAGAUCUGUCAGUACUAGUUGUGCGUACUGUGAGAAGUUGGGUCACAGCCUACUUAAUUGCUAG
rnacentral:lncRNA from 1 species